rnacentral:lncRNA from 1 species
CCUGCGCAUGCGUGAUACUUGCACCGGUCGAGAUGGUAGCAUGAGUCUGGAGGUCAUUUUCUUUGAGAAAGGCUCCGCUUCUCCGGGUUUUUGCUGAUGCCGAUCCCGGGGGAUUGAGGAAACAUCGAGCUCUGGAGUGGAAAAGAUCACUAAAAAGCUUCUCCUUGAAAAAUACUCAUAAGAUGCAACACACACACACACGUGUGUGCACUUACACACGCGGACACCGUCUCACAUCAUCAGUGGGAAAAGUGAUAGAAUCUUGCUAAAGGCUGAUCAUACCAUAUUAAUCCGAUUCGCCAGAACUACUUUCUUCACUGAGCUCUCAGCCUGCUCCCAACCAGGUAUCUCCAGAACUUUUUCUCUCCGCCACCAACUCCGCCUCCAGACAGACCGCAGGUGCUUUCUGUCAUAGGGACUGGCGUGCCGCGGACAGUGUGACAAAGAAACUGCAUGAUGGAUAUGAGAAAUUCGUAAGACCCAGCAGCAAACGGGGAGCGGCUGGCGAGCGCUCCACAGCCCCCAAGUGUGGGAGCUCUAGAUCGGAAUUUGUAAUUUGGA